rnacentral:rRNA from 1 species
GUCUACGGCCAUGCCACACUGAACAAGCCUGAUCCUGUCUGAUCUGAGAAGCUAAGCAGGGUCCAGUCUGGUUAGUACUUGGAUGGGAGACCACCUAGGAAGACCAGGUGCUGUAGGUG